rnacentral:rRNA from 1 species
AGAACGAACGCUGGCGGCGUGGAUAAGACAUGCAAGUCGAACGCUGACUUUCAGGUAGCAAUAUUUGGAAGUCGGAGUGGCGCAAGGGUGUGUAACACGUGAGUAAUCUGCCCCUAGCUCUGGGAUAGCUCCGGGAAACCGGGAUUAAUACCAGAUACGACCACUUUAGACAUCUGCUGUGGUGGAAAGAAUUUCGGCUAGGGAUGAGCUCGCGGCCUAUCAGCUUGUUGGUGAGGUAACGGCUCACCAAGGCGACGACGGGUA